rnacentral:rRNA from 1 species
UUGGAGGGCAAGUCUGGUGCCAGCAGCCGCGGUAAUUCCAGCUCCAAUAGCGUAUAUUAAAGUUGUUGCAGUUAAAAAGCUCGUAGUUGAAUUUCGGGAUCAAUUUAUUGGUCGUGCCAACGGUACGCACUGGUACAAUUGGUUUCUCCCUUCUGACGAAGCAUGAUGUCAUUAAUUUGAUGUCGUGGGGAAUCAGGACUGUUACUUUGAAAAAAUUAGAGUGUUUAAAGCAGGCUUUGGCUUGAAUACAUUAGCAUGGAAUAAUGAAAUAGGACGUUUGAUCUUAUUUCGUUGGUUUCUAAGAUCGACGUAAUGAUUAAUAGGGAUAGUUGGGGGCAUUAGUAUUCAAUUGUCAGAGGUGAAAUUCUUGGAUUUAUUGAAGACUAACUACUGCGAAAGCAUUUGCCAAGGAUGUUUUCAUUAAUCAAGAACGAAAGUUAGGGGAUCGAAGACGAUCAGAUACCGUCGUAGUCUUAACCAUAAACUAUGCCGACUAGGGAUCGGACGAAGUUAAUUUUAUAAUGACGCGUUCGGCGCCUUACGGGAAAC